rnacentral:rRNA from 1 species
GGUCAUGCCGAGCACUCUGAAAGGACUGCCCAGGAGAACGGGGAGGAAGGUGGGGAUGACGUCAAGUCAGCAUGGCCUUUAUGCCUGGGGCCACACACGUGCUACAAUGGC